AGUGUGAGGUUGGAGGUUGAGGAUUGGUUAGUGUGAGGUUGGAGGUUGAGGAUUGGUUAGUGUGAUGUUGGAGGUUGAGGAUUGGUUAGUGUGAGGUUGGAGGUUGAGGAUUGGUAAGGUGUGAGGUUGGAGGUUGAGGAUUGGUAAGGUGUGAGGUUGGAGGUUGAGGAUUGGUAAGGUGUGAGGUUGGAGGUUGAGGAUUGGUAAGGUGUGAGGUUGGAGGUUGAGGAUUGGUAAGGUGUGAGGUUGGAGG